rnacentral:rRNA from 1 species
UUGCAGGCUGCAACCCGCCCUGCAUGAAGUCGGAAUUGCUAGUAAUCGCGGAUCAGCAUGCCGCGGUGAAUACGUUCCCGGGCCUUGUACACACCGCCCGUCACACCAUGGGAGCCGGUAAUACCCGAAGUCAGUAGUCCAACCACGUGAGGACGCUGCCGAAGGUAGGAUUGGCGACUGGGGUGAAGUCGUAACAAGGUACC